rnacentral:lncRNA from 1 species
AACAAAACUUUUGAAAGAGUCUGUGGAUGCGUAUUCAACGGCAAAGAAACGUAAUAUUAUGUUUCGAAGCAUAUGGGUAGUAGUGUAUCAUAUCCCCUGUGUACUUCCACGUUAGAUGAAAAUAAUCUGGAAUUUCUAUGGCAAAAACAGAGUAUCUCACAGUUGUCGGAAUAAGAAUAGCUCUGGAUUUUUCAUUUCGCAUAGGUCGCCUUCAAGUACAUAUUAAUUUGACUUAUUUCAAAUAUCAGUGUUUAUCAUUGGAAUCAAGUCUAUUGUCGGUAAUUGUACAUAAUAUGGUAUUGAAUCACUGAUGAUGCUAUGGGAAACAGUUUCUUAUAUUUAUUUUCCUUGGAAGACUUAUUUUUAACAACAAGUGUGUGUAGUGUAAGCUAAAAGCGUAAUAUUAAAAAAAAAAAUGGAAAUACAAAUAUAAAAUCAUGAAUGUGACUCAGAUGAGGUUUAUCAACAAGCGUUUAUAGGCUAGCCGCGUCUCGUGAAAACAUUUUUAUGAUAUAUAUUUUUUAAAUAAGUUACCGUAAUAAGCAGCAUUUAGUAUUCAUUUUCUACUGGUAAACUGUCAAUAAUAGGACAUACGAAAUUUUACUGGUGAAAAUUUCUCAUGGAAUGCCCCAUGUAUAUUUGAAUUUUUGUAUCCUCAUAAUGAUGUGAAAUUUUGUACACAUUAAGUCUACUUUUAUUUUUACAUAAGAUAUAAACAUAAGUAAUGGGGCCACAUCGUUUUUUACUUAUUUUUCCUUUGUUUACAUACUAAUAUUUGAACAUAAUAAACAUGUUAUUAGAUCUAGCGUCAAGAUAACAAUUGCAAGGUAAUUAGGAGCAUCGAAAAUUUAAGCAAACUUAAAUAUUUAACACAACACAAAUAUAAUAUUUUUUUUUUGUUAAUAUAAUUGAUUGAUAUUCUACAAUACAAACAGUGUAAAUAAUGAAUACAUAUAAAGAUGAAAGUAGAUCAAAUAAAUACAAAACUAGCAGGAAAUUUCUAAGAAUAAUUGAAUUCCCAUAAUGUACCAAAGGGAUAUGCAUUUGUAAUUACUCUAUUGAAUUUAAUAUGUUACUUUUUUAAAUUAUAUUAUUUCAUCUAUAUCAAUCUUAAACUAUAUUACAAGUGAAAUAUGAACUUAGUUCACUGAGUUCAAAUAAUUGAUAUGACUUAUAUAUUAAAUGUAAAUAUGUGUUGGUGUGUGUAUGUACUUUAAUAGUGGCCGAACCAAUGAUGUAUUUCCUAAAAAAUUUCAUGUUGGUUCUUAACACUCCAUAAACGGUUCCGGUAACAAUAAUUUUGGGCUUUUAAGCCAUAGCGCCUUUAAAUAUCAUUUUUUAACACUUUACAGCUACAACCUGAGGGCUGGGAUUUAUUUAGGAUAUUAUAAGGGUUUUUAAUGUUUAGGGAAGCGGCAGUGGAAAAAUUUGACCAGCAUGAGGGAACAGCAGCCAGCAAGCAGUACUUUGACAAAAAGGCAAUGGAAAAGCCUUAAAAGCACUCCAAAAAUCUCCUGACCCGCCUCAAGCACCCACUUCAUCGAGACAUGCUCUGGUUUUUCUUAGACGAGAAACACUUUUGGGACCAGAAAGUCAAGAAUUAUUACAACAGGUGGCUAGCCUUCUGUCCGAAAGAUGUACCUGCUGUCAUGCAGACAAAGUUACUAGCCCACGUCAUUAUGUUGAAUUGGUUAGCUCCGUAGGCCACGUCAUGCCACCUCAUAUGAACCCAUAAGCCCUCAAGGCCAAUACUGAUACCUACUUGGACGUACUAGAGACUAAGUUGAAGCCCUGAAAUGCCAUGGUUGCCAAUGGGAGGCCUUACAUUCUUUUCGAGGUGUGGCAGAAAGGGGAGUCCUUCUGCCACACCUUGAAAAAAAUAUAUAAUGACUCCACGACAAUUUGAAGAUUUCAUCUCACCGGUCUUGUGGCCUCCAAACUUGCUGGAUCAGAAUCAGAUGCAUACUUUUUUGUGGAAUACGAUCGAAUGACAAACCAACCGAAUCAGCCGGCUUAACCAAAGACGAACUUAUCAGUCGGAUCAAGAUGGAAUUCCAGGAUUUGCCAAGGGACCAAGUGGAGAAGGUCUCCUCGUGUAUAGGGGCUGUAAUUAAUGCUGGAGGUGAGCUUAUUAAAUUAAAUAAAUUAGAAUUCAUCAAAAUUUCAGAAUCUGGCUUUAUUUAUAUAAUCUGAUGACUUGUUGGAGAGAAAAUUGCGUUAAAAAAAUGAUUUCCUGGCACAGGUAGCUUGCGCACUAGAGCGGUUUAUUUUUCAAUUUAUUUUUCAAAUUCGGAUUACAACUAGUUGGGAAAUGUUGUUAUAUAUAAGAAAAUAACCUAUGUCUCUAAGAUGUUAUCUUUAAGUAGCAUUUCUAGUUCAAAGUUUGAAAUUAGGUAACAGUUCGUAAUAUCGUGAUAAUAGAUUAAAAUACAGGAUUAUUCAUUAUUUUACAUUUUUUAAUUAUGAUAGACAAUAUUCUAAUCUAUACUAGAUAUUAAUAAAGUUUUAUUUCUAAAGCUUUUCGAUGGAGCAAAAAGAGACCAAUACAUUUUGCAUAUUUAAUUUUCAUACGAUAUGACAACUUUUCUGCAAUUGUCGAAAUUCAUAAAAAGGUUGAUCAACAAACCACUUUAUUGCGCACCUUGUAUAACUGUUUAUUUUAUUAUUGAAAACUGAACGCCUUUUUUAAUUGGGUGAGUCUGUUUGUCUUUUCUUUACUGCGUCAGAUUGUUUUAUUUAUUAUUUGUAUACUCAGCAUUUAUUAACAUAAGUCGAUUGACGUAAUUUAUUAUUAUUUUAAAUUUUGACAUAGACUAUGGGAAAGGAUGGAAGGAGAAAAAAAUUCAUUGACAAAUUAAUUAUUAAAUUUUUUGUAAUACUAACUAUUUUUCUUUAUGGAUUAUGAGAAUAGUCCCUCAAUGCUCAAGUAAAAUAGGAAUCUUCUUUGGAAACUAAAAAAAAAAGUAUCACUUGUCAUUUAUUUUCACAUAAUUGACAAUUUUUUUACCACCUAAUAAUUUGGGAUGUUAUGAAGGACUUUUAUAAUGUAGUGGUCCUACAUAACCCUGUUCUUCUACUACUAUUUAGAAAUGAUCUUUUCAAAAAUGUCAGCAUCCCAAAAGCUCCAUACCGAAUUACACUACUACUUUGACAAUUACAUUCUGAUGAGUAGAUCUGAUGAUCGUUUUACCCAUUUUUUUUCUCAAAAAGAUACAGAAUGUACCUUUAGAACAACUCUUCAGAAUUUGGGGAAGAUUGGACAAUAUCUUAUGAUGGUACAUUCGGAUAAUUUCAUUGUUUUAAUCGCGUAUUGUUUGAACCCAUCUUUUAUUCUACUAUUGACUUUUUCACUGACUUGCUAAGCCACCAUGACAAUAAUCAACUACUUGUACUUUGCUAUAAAAACUUGCAAGGUUUCACUCACAUCUCUGUGGCAUCAUUUACAACAUAUAGAUUUUCUUCACUGGAAUUUAUGUUAAUGUACAUGUAAGAAUUUUGGAUUUCCAAAUUGCAAUGCAAUUCCAUUUCUAUUUAAGCAUUUGAAAGGGUUCUUUAUUUUUUAGAAUUUUGCUCCUAAUCCUUAUUUUUGCCGUUUCCUCGAUAGAAUAACUAAACAAUGCCAAUGGAACAAAUUCUUCUAUCAAGCAUCACAAAUGCAAUACAAUUGCUUGAAUGGGA